rnacentral:rRNA from 1 species
GACGAACGCUGGCGGCGUGCUUAACACAUGCAAGUCGAACGGAAAGGCCCUGCUUUUGUGGGGUGCUCGAGUGGCGAACGGGUGAGUAACACGUGAGUAACCUGCCCUUGACUUUGGGAUAACUUCAGGAAACUGGGGCUAAUACCGGAUAGGAGCUCCUGCUGCAUGGGGGGGGUUGGAAAGUUGCGGCGGUGGGGGAUGGACUCGCGGCUUAUCAGCUUGUUGGUGGGGUAGUGGCUUACCAAGGCUUUGACGGGUAGCCGGCCUGGGAGGGUGACCGGGCACAUGGGGCCAGGGGAAGGGCCCGGAGGGCUACGGCAGGAAGGGGUGGGAAAUAUGGCAAACAGGGCGGAGGCCGGAUUCAAAAACGCCGGGUGGGGAAUGACGGCUUUUGGGUUGGAACACAUUUGCGCGUUGCAGUACACGUCAUGACGGUAAAUGGUCAAAAAGGCACGGCUAACUACGGG